rnacentral:lncRNA from 1 species
CAGUACUUUGAUAUGUCACAGUUUCAUGUUUAUCCAGUUCAAUGUAUUUUUAAAUUUUUCCUUGAGACUUCUUUGACUGAUAGAUUAUUGUGAAGUGUGUUUUUAAAUUUCCAAAUGUUUAGGGAUUUUCAUAUCUUUCUUAUGCUGAUUUCCAAUUGGAUUCCCUACAAUGAUUUCUGGUUUUCAUCUGCUCUGGAUGAUUACUAUCUCUUUUAAAUUUGUUGUGGCGAGUUUUAGGGCCUAGGACAGCUCUAUCUUGCCAGGUGUUUCGUCAGCACUCAAAAAAAAUAUGUGUAUUCUGCUGUUACUGUGUGGAAUAUUCUGUAAAUGCCAAAUAGAUUCUUUUGGUUAAUGGCAUUUUGAGUUGUUUUAUAUUCUUGUUGAUUUUCUUUUUUUUCCUCUUUUUAAAAACAUGAAAUGCUUCACAAAAUUUUGUGUAAUCUAUAUUCAAGAUUACAUAUAUAAAACUCCCACUAUUGUUUCUCUAAGAGUGGAUUAGUUCACCAAGUUAAAAGUUAUAUGAUCUAGAAUAUAAUAAAAUGGAAAUGAUUUACUCAUAA